AUUUGAAGCGCGCUUUCACUGCCUUUCGCUUCUUCAAAUUUUUUUUUUUUAGUAUAAAUUUCCUUAAUUAAUAGAUAAUAAUAAUAAAGCCGCGCAAACAAUAGUGAGAGAGAGCAGCAGCAGCAACAAUGGGCUCCUCUUCUCCUUCUCUUACCCUUCUUUACUCUUUGAUAUUUGCCUCCUCUGUGUUCCUCUCACGUGCCACUCUCAAAGUUCUUGACCCUGAGAAUCCAGCUCUGGAUGUCACCCCGUCUCGCUUGCAUGGGCAUGUGUUUAGCCGUGAUGUUUUCUUUUGUGAACGAGUUAAAGUUUCUGGUCACUCGAGAUGGAAACUCAGUAGUUAUGCUAGUUCAUUUCGAGUUACUUUGGCUCCAUCUGCAGUAAUACCGGAGAGAUUGCAUAGCAAAAUUCAGGUUUGCUUUCACCGGAAUGCUUCCCUUGGAUUAUGCCAGUGUGAAAAGGAUGAUUGGAGGGCUGUUCAGAAGGGGCUGUGGAGAACUGCCAUGUCUCCUUAUGAGGAGAGAUAUGUUGAUGUAAAGUUCGUUGGUGAUACUUCUGGAUCUGUCUCAAUCGCUGUUGAUGAAGAUUUACAGCAAUGGCGCCUCAUGUGUCUAGCAGCUGGAUUUGUUUUACUAUUGCUGGCAUCAAUUGUCAGCAGUUGGGUUCCUUUUUAUUAUAGCACUUCAAUGGCUAUUGGGGUUUUUCUGGUCAUUAUAUUCCUUCUUUUUCAGGGAAUGAAAUUGCUGCCAACUGGAAGGAAAAACUUUUUCUAUCUUUCCAUAUAUGGAUCAGUGCUUGGAGCUGGCACUUUUGUUUUACAUCAAACUUCAACUCUGGUAAAUUCGAUUCUUGUCAAUUUUGGGCUGAGUGAAGAAAUGCACUAUCCAGUCUACAUAUUUGUGUUAGUAGGGAUUGUUCUUGCAGGAGCUGGUUUGGGGUACUGGAUGGUGAGGAAAUUUGUAAUCUCCAAGGAUGGGAGCGUGGAUGAUGAAGUAGCUCAGUUUGUUAAAUGGGCAACACGCAUUAUUGCAUCCACCUUUAUUUUCCAGAGCACUUUUGAUACUCCUUUAGCAAUGGCUGCCUUGGUUUCUUCUUGGGCAAUCUGUACUCUUAUUUUAAAGUGGUGGUAUCGAAUGGAUCAAUCAGAUUCUGGGGGUGCGCGUGCUUGGCUCCAGCCCACAGGACAGGUGGCAAGAUAUAGACUGCUGAAUUCCUUAGCAGGUCAGGAGAAAUGAGCCCCCAGAGGAAGAUGCGCAACAGUCCAAAAAGCCCUUCUGCUAGGACCAACUCCCCUGUUAAAGGUUUGGUAUCACCAUCUUCUCAUUCGGCAACAGUAAUAAACAGGAUUACUACUCAACCUUCCACAAGACACCAAAGCAAAAGAAGUUCACAAAGAAACAGCGGGAGGAUUUCACCAGGGAAUCAACACACCAAGCUGUGGCCCAAUGGGGAGCGUCACCGGAAGUCACCAAUUGGAUCAUCAAGAAUGCUGAUCGGAUUCAACUCUUCCAAGUGAUUAUAGCUCAGAAGAAAUGGUGGAAAGUGAAUCAGACUCCAUUCAGCCUUUUUAAUCGGCGGUGACUGGACCAGAGAAAUCACGGUAGCAAUCAGGGAUCAGGUAUUUAAAUUGUGUAGGAGGUGGCACUAGUUUAGGAAAUGUAGUUUGCUGCACCAACAAGCCGAAUGGCUUUUUCUCUAGGAUUAGCUAACCAUUUGGCUAACAGUUUGUUUCCAGAAUUAAUCUCCUAAGGACAUGCAAGGUUACCUUGUGUAAGUAAAAAAUCACAGUUGUGCACAGAAGGGAAAGCCAUUGUUAGUUCU